rnacentral:rRNA from 1 species
GACGAACGCUGGCGGCGUGCUUAACACAUGCAAGUCGAACGGAAAGGCCCUGCUUUUGUGGGGUGCUCGAGUGGCGAACGGGUGAGUAACACGUGAGUAACCUGCCCUUGACUUUGGGAUAACUUCAGGAACCUGGGGCUAAUACCGGAUAGGAGCUCCUGCUGAAUGGUGGGGGUUGGAAAGUUUCGGCGGUUGGGGAUGGACUCGCGGCUUAUCAGCUUGUUGGUGGGGUAGUGGCUUACCAAGGCUUUGACGGGUAGCCGGCCUGAGAGGGUGACCGGCCACAUUGGGACUGAGAUACGGCCCAGACUCCUACGGGAGGCAGCAGUGGGGAAUAGUGCACAAUGGGCGGAAGCCUGAUGCAGCAACGCCGCGUGCGGGAUGACGGCCUUCGGGUUGUAAACCGCUUUCGCCUGUGACGAAGCGUGAGUGACGGUAAUGGGUAAAGAAGCACCGGCUAACUACGUG